AGCCAAGAGCUGUACCGGUGCUGGUUCUGUCCCUGCCUGCUGCACUGCAGGACCCUCGGGUAGGAAGCCCAGGGUUGGAAGGGGGGGGGGGGGGGAGUUGGAAGCCAAAAUUGCUUUAAUCAGUGAUGAACUUUGCGGGGAUAAUCCAGGGGGAGUGAGUUCUGGGGAUGUGCUUUGCCUUUCAUUACAAACCUAGUGGUCUACUGGUUUUGUGUCUGCACAAGGCAGCCUAUAGAGUUCUUGUUGCUGUGAGUGCUGGAUGUCUGACUGUUCCAUGCCUGCCCUUCAGCUCCUGUGUCAGGGCCUCUCUGCUUGAGAUAAGACGUCCUUAUGAAACAAGUUAUACAUCAGAUACCUGGGAAUGUCUCUGCAUGUCUGUGUUGUGCAGUUCUUCCAGGAGCCAAAGAAAGCAUUUCUCCUGAUGAAACGCUGAGUGCCAGGAUCUCUUCCCAGCUGAGGUCUGUGAGCAAUUGCAGACAGCAAAGCCUUUCCGUUUUGCUUUGAUGGACAAAAAUGCGGUUGCCUUGAGUGUCAGCUGAUAGGAAAAGGAGCUUUAUUUCAGUUAUCCUCCACUGUUGUUUUCCUUUAAUUGAAGUUCAUGGUGGUUGCAAGUCCCCUCCUGACCUCAGCUCGUCCCCUACCUCCAUCUGCAGGUAGUGUGAUGUCACCGGAGGUGCUCUUCCUGCCCGGGCUCUCAGCCUGGUCCUGGCAGACUGUGCCCACAGUGGGGACACAUGGACCCUGCUGGGGACUCAGAUGUCACCGCCUGCUCAGUGUCCACUGCUGUGCCUGUCCAGUGCCCGCUGUGCCUCAUGCAUGUGCCCCGAAGAAGCACAGCUUCCAAAUGCGUGCUAAAAAAAGCAACGCAGGGUAAAAGGGAGGAGUUAUAAAUGAUACCAAAGCUAGAAGGAAGAUGGGGACAAGCAUGGGAUGAGUGUUGGCAGCAGAAUGGCUCUGUGCUUGGUCUGGAUCUGCAUGAGCAUGGGAGGUGCGUUGCUCUGCACCGCUCUCAUGAGCCCCUGCCUGUAGUACUACGCUCUGCUCUGGGCCUCCAGCUCAAGGAGAACAUGGAGCUGUUGGAGUGAGUCCAGAGGAGGCUCAGAGGGCUGGAACACCUCUUCUACAGAGUCAGGUGGUGGCCAGUCUGGAGAAAAGAAGGCUCUGGGAAGACCUCCUUGUGUCCUUCCAGUAUCUAAAGGGGCUGCUGAAAGCUGGGGGGGGGGGGGGGGGGGGACGGACUCUUUGUCAGGGAGUGCAGUGACAGAGAGAGGGGCAAUGGCUUUAAACUGACAAAGAAUCCUAAGUGACAGAACACCUCAUCUUGGAGGGGGCCCACACGGAUCUUUCGCUACCCCUCUGACCCUCCAUGCCAUUCCUCAGAGAGCAGAGCUCAGUGCUGCCCUCCGCUCCCUGCGAGGAGCUGCAGGCCGCCAUGAGGCCUCCCCUCAGCCUCUGCUCUGGGCCCAACAAACUCCUCACACUCUCAAACUCCUCUCACUGCCCUCAAACCCUUCCCCAUCGCCAUAGCCCUCCUUUGGCCGCUCUCUGACAGCUUUCUGUCCCGAUCAUGCGGUGCCCAACCUGCACCCAGAGCUCGAGGUGAGGUUUGAACACCACCUCAUAUUCCUCAGUACAUCUGCUGUGCUGACAGCAGCCUCUGGUCCUAAAGCUACGGCUGCCACUGCUCUAAGCACUUCUUACUAGCCCAUUUGCUUUGAAUUCCUACAGAUUUGUGUAAUCUGCCACCUGUGGGACUGGGGAAGCUCUGUGCGGGUGCUGGCAGCUUUGCCUGGAGAUUUGCUUCUUCAGAUAACAAAUCUCAAGACCAGCAGCUGAACCAGCACACACUGCCAUGUUAAUGAACUGUAAACUCAGAGCAUCUUAGCACACUUGGAAAAAAAAAAAAAAAAACCAUAAAUCAGAGUUACUUCUGAUUUCUUUCUCUCCUUUUUCCUUGUUUCGAGAGCAUGCAAGCAGCCAAUGAUUAGGUUUCUUUCAGCUCAUCGUUUCAGAAUGGGCCGCGUCACCGCCAGGCCCUGCGCUGCAGGGUCAGCCCUGAGCACAGAUAAACCCCUUCCAGAAGGAUGUUGGGGAGCCCUGCAAACAUGAGAAAACUGCUGCCACGGCGGCCGUGAAACCCAAACCUCUCGGAGCUGCAGGCUGGGAGAGUCACUGCUGAAGGGGAUGGGAGAAAGACUGAGCAGGGUUUCAGUGCAGCGCGAUGGGGAAUUGUGACCCUCCUGCCAAACCAUUGCUUCGAAUGCAAAUUUCAAAUGGGAUAACGAGCUGGAAAUUCAACUCAUUUUCAGCAAACAUGGGACAAUUCUUACAGAUUUGUUUUUCUUGCUGCGGGCAGCCACCACCUGAAGCACAACACAGAGCUCAGUGGAUGGAGCACAGCUCUUACACUUCUCCAAUCUGUUAUUUUUAUGCUAUUUCUGCAGCUUGUUAGGUAUCCUUGGCAGCAAAAAGGCUUUUGUUCCCCUCCCCCCGUUGUUUUUCCAAUAUGUAUUUGGUGUAACGGGGAUUUUUUUUUUGCUGUGAUACUUAGUUUUUGCACGGCAAAUGAAACAUCUGAAGAGAACAGCGCUCAGAAACUGAAUAAAGACAUGCAAAGCUGAGAUCCUGCGGCAGGGAUUUAAGAAGAAUAAAGGUGCUGCAGACAUUUCUGACACAGCCCAAGAACCUGAUCAAAUGCUGCUUUCCCCUGACCUUGUUCCUGGGAGUGCUGGAGCUGUUGGGGCUUCUGCUGCUGCUCGUAAAACUGACACAGUGUCUGCACAGAAUGGAAAGUUUUCACUUGCAAAGGUUCUGAGCAACUUGAAAGAGGCUCAGAAAGGGGCAGGGCCUGAGACAAGCUCAGAAAUGUGAAAGUAUUUUGGAUUACUGUGCCCAAGCCUCAAAUUUACAAGAUAUUUAAAACACAUGCGUACAUUUAGGCAUAUGAAUACGUGCACUGACUCAAUGAGAUCCUUCACUAGGGUAAAUGCAGGCAUAGGUUCACUUGUCUCACUGAAUGAGAAAUGUAGAAAUAAUCCAUGUACUUCCUCCUUGGGUCACAAAUAGUCACAAUGCAAACUUAGAGUAGACCCCAGCUUAGUACAUAGAGCAGAUGAUGCAAAAACUCUGACAAAUGCUACACCAGGUCUUAGACCUUGCUGACUGAUAGCACAAUAACUGCUUCUCCUUAAAAUCACACAGCCAUUAAGGUUGGAAAAGAUCACCACGAUCCCCAACCCCUGCCACCCCCCUCCAUGCCCACUGCCCACGUCCCUCAGUGCCACAUCUCCACAGCUCUUGAGCACCUCCAGGGACGGUGACCCCACCACUCCCUGGGCAGCUGUGCCACUGCAUCACCACUCUCAGAGAAGAAAUGUUCUCUGAUACCUACCCUGAAUCCUUCAGACAGGCUGAAGCAUGCAGGAUUUGGGCUGGUACACAUGGAGCAUUUCUGCUCAUCUCACUGCACUCCCAAAUAUUCUCACUUUUGAGGGUGAGGAGUGCACGGGCAGCAGCGUUGGGGGCAUUUGAUGCCCAUUCUUCACUGCAGUGUGGUUAAGUCAUCAGAACUAUGGUCACUUUUAUUGGUUAGUACUGGCCACAGUUCCUCAAUAUCUGUAUGUACUGAAACCCAGCAGCAGCAGAAGCACCUUGUUUUCCCAAUGAGGGCUUCAGAAGAGCCAUGGCUCCAGCACUGCAUCACACCUGGGCACCUGCUGUUCCCUGAGCUCACGCUAACCAGCCAGGCCAGGGGCUGCUCACGGAGCCGUAUCGAUCCACUCGUGUGUCCGGCAGGGCUCAUUGGGCUGAGCUGGCUGCUCUGUCAAUAUCCACAUUAAUCUCCCUGCAGACUCCACUCCAGCCACUUUGCAGCUUUGCUGAAGGCACGAACACAUUCCCCAUUCUCCUGCUGAAUUCACAGAGCUGCAGGUGCCUGCUCACUUCCCCGGCCGCAGCCGCGGUGUUGCUUGCCUGUAGGUGGGAACUGAAGGCUGAAUUACUUUCUCUUGUCUUACUGAUGGACUCAGUGCUGGAGUUGAUGUUUAUUGCUUCUGUGCAAGUCCUCGAUGUCCCUGUCACGUUCCCACAAGACACUGAGAUGUUUCGUUCUUGAUGUGAACCAACACCUUGGGAAGGGGCAAGUUGAACCGAGCAGAUUUCCCACCUUUGGGAGCAUAGGAAGUGCUGGGCUGUUGUGUAAAUCAUAUAGUGUUUAUUUCUGAUCAAGCCCUCUGCAGUGAACAGGGCACACCCACAGCUCCAUCAGGUGUUCAGAGCCCAUCCAGCCUCACCUUGGGUGUCUGCAGGGACGGUGCACAGCAACCUCUCUGGGCAACGUGUGCCAGUGCCUCACCACCCUUAUUACAAGCAACUUCUUCCUUAUAUCCCAUUUAAAUCUCCCCUCUUUUAGUUGGAAACCAUUUUGCCUUGUCCUGUCACAACAGCUCCUGCUGAGGAGUCUGUUCCCUUAUUAUUUGCAGUCCCCCUUUAGAUACUCAAAGUGUUCACCCCACAGUCCUGACAGCAAAGUCACGCUGCCUUCUGUUGGCAGGAGCUGCAGCCGAAUGCUCUGAUGCUCUGCGGUGCUCCGCAGCAGCACAUCACAGUGCAGCGGUAAUGCAAUGGGAUGGGGUGACAAGGUGGCCCUGGGUCAUGGCACGUUCCUAAUGGCGUGGUGAAGCCAUUUAGUUUUGAAGGGUUUAAUGAAAGUUUUGAGACCUUUAUUCCGGCACUGUCUUGGUGGUGUAUAGAAGUAAUACUGGAUUUUCAAAAUGCUCUUCGGAGGAUACAGGGGAGGACUGCUAUUAGUUGAAGAAUGCCAGGUAUAACGUGGCAAAGUGCCUCCUUAAGCUUUUUCUAAGCUGAAUUCAGUCACCAGCAUUGAGAAAUUCCCCUGCUGGGCUCUGGUCUACCACCCUUAUACAGCAGCUCCUUGCAGCCCUGCUCUCGGAUAGGCCACCAUGUUGAACCAGGCUCUGCUGAGAAAAGAGAGAGGAAUAAUGAAGUCAAUUAAGAAAAUUAAGAAAGGGUCAAAAAAAAGGAUUGAUCCACAGAUUGAUCAAGCUGGGGAUGCAAAGGCAUGAAUUGCCUUGCCCAUGGCCGUGCCUUUUCCCACCUCACCUCGCCAUGGCCCCUUCCCAUCUGGAUGGUCCCCCUCUUGCAGCCCUCUUCUUGCUGCUCCCGUGUUUCCCUGCAGCCCCUGUGUGGCCACGGCAGGAGGGCAAUGGUUUGGUGAGGGCUACAAAGCAGCUCUGCCAGCCAGCGAGCUGGCAUGGAAAAAUCCAGUUGCAGAUUUCCUUGAGCCCCGUAAACCCUUCCUCCCUUCCCUCCCACAAGUGCUCCCAUAAAUCUUACCUCCCUAUCACAGAGCCCCAGCCUCUCCUCCACCAGCAUGGAAACAGAAAGAGCAUCCUUCGAACUCUGAGCCAACCCAGCAGUUGGCUCAGAGACCCCUCACAAAGGGCUUGAACUGCAAUAUUUGCUUGCAACUUGUGUUUGCCUUGCAAUAGAGGCAUUAUUGCUUAAAAAGAAGGUAAUAUCUGUAAUUUCUCCAGGAGGGACCAGGCGGGACGUGGCUGUAUCAGCAAGGGACCUCGUUCUGCUAUGUGAACUACUAUGGAAUUCUUCAUUUCCCUUCGUAACUAUUCAUUAUCUUCCCUGUUUUUAGGGCACCUUCCCCAUGUGUUGUGGGCAUCCUCAGGCCUAUGGUACCACUGACACCACUGAAAUUACAUCCUGGGUGCAGAGGGAGCUUUGGCAGCCGCCUGUGCGGGGCUCACAUUAUUGCGGUGCAGAGGGAAAUGCCUCUGUGCUGCUGGGCUGCCUGCUUCCCCCAUCUGAUCUAUUAUUAACGAUGCUCCUGCCACUGAGCUCAUUAAGAAACGCGUUCCCCAGCUCCUUCUCGCCUGGCCCUGCCUCUUUUAAAAUUGAACCUUUUAAUUUGAAUGAAUCUUUAAUUCGGCUCUGUCUCCUUUCAUGGCCUCCCUAUAAAGAGCAAUUCCCCCAGUAGGACAAGGAGUUAUUUGAUCAGGUUGAAAUGGGGAUGUGUAGCCGUGGCGUUGAUCUGAUUUUGUUGAUGUGGCUGCAGGAUUUCAUUGCCUGCUCAUAGCAGGGAUGCGUAGUCAUAAAAAAGCAGAAGGGAAGUCUUAGGGUUUCUGGGUCUGCUCCGCUCAUCUCGGAUGCUUUCAGCACACGGGAAGGGCUCACUGCUGCUUUGGUUUCCUUGGUUUCUCUGGGGGAUGCAUCAUUUUCAGCUGUGCCUUUUUUGUGCUAGAGCUCUCCAUGCAACAGGAUGCUGGGAGGAAAGGAGUGGGUUUACGACAGACAACGGAUCCGUGGGGACUUUUUUUGAGGGGUGGGGUUAAUUGGUAUUUGUAGGUCCUGAUCCUCUUUCUGUGAAUUAAACAGCCACGGGAUUUGAGACUUUUUCUUCUUCCAGAGGGAUGAAUGGAGAGAGUGAAUGGAACCAAGCCAAAGCAUAGCAGUGGCUGCGGGCUUUGGCUAUGGAUGGGACCAGCUGGUGACCUCUUUGGUAGGGCAUGGCCAGGAUGCUUCUGCAAGGAGACGUGGCUGGGAACCCAAAAUCCCUCUCCUGCCCGUGCCCCAGCCCCUUCCUGCAAACACUUCUUACCAAGCAGCCAGGAUUGUCUGGAAAGCGUUCCUUGUGAGAGACAAACUGGAUCUUGAGCUCUCACCUCGGAGGCUCUAUUUGAGAGUACGCGCAGAGCAAGGGACUGCUCCUGCCUGGGAGAGGGACAUGGGCAGAGGAUGGAAAGGAUGGAGAGAAGACACAAGGAUGGCACCAGGGACAUCCUCAGCUGUGAGCUUGGGGGCCUGGGUUUGUAGGGGACAUCUCUCUGCUGUUACAAAGAAAAAAUAAUGAUAUAUAUAUUAAGAAAUUUUAGGAAGGACAGCAUUUCUCAAAUUUCACUUCAAUCUAACUAAAACAUGUUUCGUUUUGUCCCUGAAUGAUGAAUCUGUGCUCAUUUCCAGGUUACUUAGCCAGACCUAAAGCCAGAAGCAGAAGGAAACAGGCGAGCGCUUUCCAAGCCACAUGCUCUGCGUGCAGAUCAAAGCAAAACCUCCCCCCUCCUUCACAGGGGGUUGAUUUGACGUGGUUCUCCAGCUGUGAGCUGCUGUCGAGAGGUGCUCAGGACCAGAGCGGGGCUGUGUUUGGUGCUCUGACUGAUGGGCAACACGGCUGCAAAACCCCAGCCCCGCCGUGACCCAGCGCGUGGGUUUUGGAUAGGGCAGAAGCUCAGAGCAGGUGGUGGGCAUCCUCUGUGCCUUGCUCCAUCCUGGGGACUGCAUGCUGUCUGCAUGCUGCUGCCAGAUCCCUGCCACGGGCACCAAUAUGCUGGACCAGAAUACCAACGAGUAUACUCCAGUUGCCCUGUUGCAUUCAGCCUGCCCCACUGGGCAACAUCUCUGCAAACCAUCCGUAGCCCAGUCAGUCCCUUAUCCCUCGGGCUUUCACUGAACCCUUUUGUCCGAACCCUUUCCCAAGGCUAUAUGAGCUCUUCGCAUUCUGCUGCUCCUUUUUCCCCAGGAGAGUUUCCUUGAGGACCAUCCACCCCCAAAGACAAUGUCAUCCCCAAACCUGCUCAACCAACUGCCCUACAAACCACCAUCACUGUGGGACAGAGAGCUGGGCUCGUCCUUCAGCAGCCUAUGCUGACCACAGCACUAGGGCCAACUAGAGUGGCCCAAACCCAUGGAAUAACUCAUUUACCCCUUCCUAAAAUCGCUCUCGGAGCACAGUUGAUCAUUUAUAAGCCUUAACUCCUACAGCCAUGCGGGCCCAAGGAAGGAAGGGCAUUAAAAUUCCACUUGAUGCUCACCAGGCCUGACUAAUAAAAUAAUGUCCAACAAGGACAUCAAUUAGCCACCGAUUCGCUAACGCUUUGCAAGGCUAAUGACAGCUGGAGCGAGGAAUUUGAAACCCGAGUCAUUUCUCCAGCCUGCACCAGGGUGCCAGGGAUAAAAGGUUAGUCAUGUGUACCAAAUGCAGUGUGAGCUCCUCCAUUAUUUAUGUGUGUCAAACAGACAAGGAGCGUUUCAAUGCCUGCAGUCGCUCUAUGGUAAUUUGUUUUAUAUAAACAGAUAUAAUCUGGUCAUUAAUACACAUAAUUCUGAGGGAGCUGACAGUAAUGAAUCUGGAGUAUAUGAUUGCAUUGACUCAUUCCCUUCCUAAAUAAUAGUCGGUAUUAAUAAGAGCUGAUGUAGCCGGCAGCACCCAGGAGUUUCGUGGUGGACUCAAGAUGGGUGGCUUUCUCUUUGCUUCUUGUCCUAAGCUUUUCAGCCAGGCUAUCCUAUAAACUAAUGGGAUUUAAGAUCCUCUCUCACAAGGCCAAGUCUCUGCUGUUUCCUGGCUCGGGACUGCUCGUGUUGCAUCAAUCACAGCUUGGCACUGCACGCCCCGCAUCUCUGGCUCUGGUGAGCUGGGCUGGGCUCAGUGGCUUUCCUGUUCUCUCCCACCUCUCAGGAGAAUGUUUUUGUUCACUGUUAGUAAUUGAGGGUUUAUUUCUGUAGUGGUGCAACGGGCGUUUUCUGGGAAAGUGGAGGUGGGUGUGUAUGGACAUUGCUUGGAGACUUGUCUUGCCUCAUGUACAUCAGAUCAGUGCUGUAGAUUUGCUUCCCUUGUGAGGCACUGCAAGUCGAAGGUACUGGUUGGCACAUGCCCCAACUUGCAAACCACAGAUGAGCAGGGUGGCUUGGCUAUUGACCCUUGAGCCGAGUGGCCAGUAGGAUAUGUUUGUUUGACUGCUCACCCUUAAAAUCGGAUCUGCCUACUCACAUGGGUGUGUGGUCAGCCCAGGCUCAGUCAGGGAGAUGGACAACAGAGGGGUGGAAGAGAGUCCAACCACAUGCUCAUUGAGCUGUCCUGGGCUCUCCCUUCCUCUGGAUCUGUUUCCAUCAGUAAAAGGCUUAGGUGACUAACUCUGCCUUCCCAGGCAGCUCUGAGGAUGUUUUUGGAGCUCCCAGGAGGGAUGGAGCUCUGCUAAAGAGCAGGGAAGAGGCUGAGGAUUAUGGAGUUUCUAAACCAGCUUUGCAAUAAGCAAUCUUGGUUAACAAACCCGGAUGAGGUGGGUCUAGGAGUGUCCAGCUGGAAAGGCGAGCACUUGAUCCCACAGCAAGCCCAAGCCCAGGAUCCAUAAGGGUGUUAUGCUCAUUGAUCCUGACCCACCCAGCUCCUGGACCUGCUUGCUGCUCUGAGGGGCUGUGGCUCUCGCAUCCCAUAGCCAGCAGCAGCGCAAGCUCUGCAUCACAUUUCAUCUAUGGGAUCCCACUGCUUCAUGAGGGCUACUCCCAGUUCAUUAUCUGUUCUUGCCCAACAAACGUCUUGGCUGUGUCUCUGCAUGAGAGAUCUCAGCGUUGCUCACAUCAACAGAGCAGGAACGGGAAAUUUCAAGGUAAAAGCCCACUGUGGGCAAUACUGCAGGUUGGACAAACCCAUUUAUUUAAAAAUAACGAGCUUCAGUCUAAUGAUCACCUUAGCUACCACUGGAGUGAAAAAUAUGUCAUCAGCCCCAUAUGAUGUCUCUAUGCCAUCUGGCUGCUCUCAAAAGACGCACACUGAAAACGGUGCCUUCUCUGCAAGGCUGUUUUGCCCCCCCUGCAUAGAAAACAAGAAGUUCCCCUGUAAUUAAAAAAUAUUUAAAAAAAAAUCAAAAAGCCAAUUCUUCUGGCUGUCUCCUGCCUCCUGUGCCCUUGUGUUUCCCAUACGGAUGACCUAUAGUUCCUACCUUCUGAUUUGUAUUCACUGCUCUGAGCUCCUCUCUCCCCGCCUGGCUCCAAAAGGACCCUUGGAUUCCCUGCUUGGUGAAGCAGGGCUUGCUGACUGAACCAGUGCGAUAGUCCUCUGAGUUCUGAGACUGCAGCUUUUAGUGAGUAUAGAGAAACGUUCUUAAACACUGCCUAAUUUUCAUUUUUGUGGUUUUUCUUUGGUUUCCCCCCCCCCCCCCCCCUUUUUAAAUUCCUUCUCUGAUGUGAUUUGCCUCACGAGCAUUUUCAGGUUUGUACAGCAGCCUGGGAGAGCAGCAAGGCAAUAUCUUCCUGGGUUUGAUUUUAUUCCGUCUGCACAUAACAAACGUUUUCAAGUGGCAAUCACUUCCUACCUCAGCUACUGUGUGUUUUUAGUCCUGUGAUCAAAUUCUCUGUAUCUGACAAGAAAAAAAAAAGGUCUACCAUGCAAUUCCCUCUGUUGGAUGUGAGAGUUCUUUUGAGGUGGGGAACAAUCACCAUCAUCUUUACAAACAAGGAGGCUGUUUCAGCACUGGAGGCAGCUUCACUGCAGAAUUCACUGCCUGUGAAGUCUCCUGGUGACAGCCUGGCCCCUUUCCCCCCUCGCCUUUAGCAGGCACUCGGGAGACGUUGGGCUGGUUUGCAGGUUGGAUUUUGUGCUCCGCUGCUGAUACCGAUUGGUCUCUUUUGUGCUUUGAUGAUGGGGCCACCAAUUUUCAGAUUAAUUUGCUACCGAGUCCAAUGACCUGGAUGCUCACAAUCCCAUUUCUAACUCUUCCCCUUCUUUUUCCCACUCCAGCCUUCCCAGAAGCCCUGCUUGUAAUGCUCCAAUCAGCUUCCCACCGGGUUUCCACCACUCCAGCUAUGCUGAACUCAUCCCUGCACAAAAGCCAUUCCCUCUGUUUAUCAGCCAGGACCUACCUUUGGUGGAGGAGGAGAUGAAAGAGUUUCUCUCCCUUUCUUUCAGAGCUUUGAUUAAUUUUCUUCUCAGCACCUUCAUUAUGUGCUAAAUGAGUUUCCAUUUGUUCCCUCUUUGCACCUUUCCCUUUUGUUGUUUGUCUAACACCUCCCUGCCCGAGGCAGCCUGUCUCUCCCUCAGCAAAUCAGUUUCCAAUGUGGGAAGGAAGCAUCCAAAAUCCUCCAAGCCCUCUUUUGGAGUGCUUUGCCAACGACACUCAUCUUGUCACUUCAAUGGUCAGCUUUCCCACCAAAGAUCUUCUGUUCUUCCUCACUUACAGGAGAAGCGGAAUCUUAAAGCUGCUUGGGGCACUUAUUUUUCAUCAUCCUUGGGAGUGAUGUGGCCUAGAAAACAAGAUAAGCUGUGAUUUAGGGGCACUGGUGUCUGUUUCAGUGAUGCGCCUGCCCAGAGCCACCACAAGGUAGAUGUGGCUUUCUUUUUCAAUGGGUCCGACCCCUUGGAAAGCUGGUUCAGCUCGGGAAAAUAGCAGAGAACGAGCAAAGGGAAGAACAGAAAGAACAAAAGGGAAGCCCAGUGGGUGCCCCAGCAGCCCCCCCGCAGCACCCAGGCAUCUCGCUUGGGGCAGCUCUCUUUGCUGGCAAGGCAGAUUGACUUAAUUUCAGCUUAUGUUUGAAAGGCAAUUAAUUUCACUGGAUUUAUCCCAUUGAUUUUGACUCCCGUUCAGAAAAACGCUUCCUCUCCCUCCCAGACCACAGCAUCUGCGAGCAUCCUAUUCAUCACCAAACACUCCAGCAGAUGCAAAGCAUCCCUUGGAAACUGCUGUGAGGGCUGCACACACACUGAGGUGUUCCGCGGAACCGGGGCCUCUCUAAGCGAGAAGAGGCCAUUAGUUUUGGCUCAUUAGCUAAACCGAGAUGACUAUUAAAUCCCACUCCUCCCGCCACCUUCUGUAAAAUAAACUUAGAAAUGAGCCAUCUUUGCAGCUGUGACUGGUAAUAAAUCCAAUUAAUUUCCA